CCACGUUUUAACAGGGAUAUGAAUAAAUUCAUUGUGCCUAAGGAAGAUGAACAGACUGUGAAAAAGCCUUCAAAAUCACAAGGGACAUUUAGCUUGAAGAGGAAAAGACAUACGGAGUAAAGGUCUCUGUUUUCACCUCCCUGAAGAAAGGUAAUCAAUGUGCCCCAGAGGACAGAACCAGGACUUGUAGGUAGAAAGCAAAGAGAGGCAUGCUUCAACUGCAAGAAAAUAAAAGUGUUCCAAGCAGUGAAAUAUUUGACCUUGGAGUAAACUGCUAUAAUAAGUAGUAUGCUCCCUUCACUCACAGUAUUUCAGUCGGGCUGAAAGAUCAUCGGGGUGCCUAGAGGAGAAGUUUUCAUGCACUUCUCAAAUUCUAUGAUGCUCCAAAUCAGAGGGUUGGACAAAAUAAUUGUGCUUAAAACCUGCCCUUGUGGUCCUCUUGUCUCAUAUAACACUUAGCAAUCUCUCUCUUUGCAGACUGGCUGAAAUGCAAUGAGAGUGCCUGAUGACACAUAAUUUUUGGCACAGAAUUCACGACAUUCAUCUCAAAUGUCCAAGCUACUACUAUAAAUUAACAGAUCUUCACACACACACACACAUACACACACACACACACACACACAUAGCUCAUCUCAAAAGUGUGAGAGAACUUCCGAACCAUGUGAGAAAACCAAGGCUUUUGGAAGAAUAUGGCUCUGCGUCUGUCAAGUCAGGAAUCCAUCCUUCUAGAAGGGCACGGUAGUCAGAGGAAAGUCCCCUCUCCUCUAACACACACACGUUGAUGUCCACCUCCUAAUCCCCAGCACCUGUGAAUAUGGUACCUUACAAGGCAAAAGGGACUUUGUAGGAAUGAUUAAGUUGAAGGACUCUUAGAUGGGUGACAUUCCCCUAGGUUAUUUCGCUCCUCCAGUCGAAUCAUGUGAGUCCUCAUAAGCAGAGAUGCCUCUCCUGACUGCAGUCAGAGAACCAGAGAGGCGCAGCAGGAGAAGAACUUGGCCACAAGCCAAGGAAUGCAGGAAGCCUCUAGAAGCUGGAAAGGGCAAGAUGAUGGAUUCCCCCCUAGAGCUUCCAGAAAAGAUGCACCAUGUCAACAUUCUGAUCUUAGCCCAGUGAGACCAACAUGGGACUUCUCUUCUCUAGGACUGCAAGAUAAAUUAAAUACAUUUGUGUUUUUAAACCACUUGUGAUAAUUUAUUAGAGCAGCAAUAGAAAACUGAUACAAAGAGUCAGGCACUCUGAAAUCAUAAAACAAGGAUUCAACUCCCAGUCGGCAGAGUCCUAGCUGUGCAAACUUGGGCCAAUUAAUUAACCUCUCUGGAUCUCAAUCGGCUGCUAAUGGGGCCGUUCACUACUCUCAAAGGGCUGAUACAGUCUCACUUUGUGGCCAAGGCUGGGGUGACCCUGCUAAUGGAGCUGGCAAUGAACUGCAUUUUGGAAGCUCAAGCAGUCACUCUCGUCCAGCCAGGGUCAACCCUGAACAAAGGAGAAGCAAGCUGCCUUUGUGAGUCCAGGGUCCCUCUUUGGACUUUUUCCCCUCUGUCACCCCAAGAACCCAAAAGACAUAGGGGAAAUAAGGAAGAAAGAGAAGAGUCACAUCAACGGUCAGGACUGCAGGGGAGGGAAGAGGGAGUGAGAAGACGCUGCAGACGUCCAGAGAAGCAGACAGAUAGUCCACGAUGCCAAAGAAUCUUUGCUGGAGGAACUGCAUCAGGCGGGGCCUGAGAACCGGUGGUUUCUCGCCAGCAUCCGUCAUCCGGCUGUUUCUCAGCUCCGGCUCCAAUCUGGAGACCGAGCCAUGCCUGUGGAUGCUUCCCAAGAAGGAUCUGGUGGGGUGGGGCGGAAUUUUUUUUCUCCCUCCUCUCCCUUGAAAACAUAUUUGACUGCUUUGCAAUCCAAACGCAAACAGCCUGACAAUGUGCUGAAGUGCCCUGAAAUGCAGGGAGCUGGGCCAUAGAGAGGUUCAGAGGAGGGAUUCCUCCUGCAAGGCCCUUGGACAGGAGAGCCAGGGGGUCUCUCAAUAAGGGGGCCGGCCUGCGGGAGGACCUUGGGAAUACGUUCUAAUUUUCUAAUACAGGAAACUGGAAGAGCCAAAUGCCUUGGGAAAGAAGGGUUUGUUUUUUAAACUGGGAGCCUCAUACAUAUAUAUGAGAUUAAUAUUUUAUCCUAUAAGAAAAGUCUACAGUUGGGAGAAGGCAGUGGGGGUGGGGGGCAAAACCCUAACACAACAUGUGCCAUGGUGACUGCUGGAAAUGCAGCCCACUGGGCACACAACCCAAGAACUCUGCGUGCAUGCUGCCCCUAGGCUGGGAGUGGGCUUUGGGUGAGCUGUCUGUUCUCCCGGCCAGGUUCUCACACCAGCCUCCAGCCAGCAGAACCUAGGGAUAUCUGAAAAAAUGUCCCCUCAGCACGCUUCUCUUCAGCCCCUCAAUUGCCCCUAAGCUCUUCCCACCAUGCUUUUCAACCAUCCCUUCUUUUCCUUUCUACCCAGGAUACUGUUCUUUGAAGCUUCACGGUUAAGCCAGACUGUGUCCCACUGGUCUCUUGGCGGGAGGGUCUCCCCAUUAGAGCUCCCUGAGAGGGACUGCACCCUGGGAAGUUCAGUCUGAGGAGAUUCCAUCCCAUCCAGCUGGUCUUCCCUUCCCCUCCCCUCCCUUUCCUCUUCUCCCUCUCCUAACACUCACUGACAAUCUACUCUUAGCAGGCACUGCUCUCAGGGCUGGAGAAAUAGUAAUGAACAAGGCAGACCAGGUCCAUGCUCUUCUUAAUCAUUUGUUUUUUGGGGGUGUGAAAAGUUAAAGUAGAGGUUCCUCUUCAAAGAGACUUUCCUGUCUAAUUAAGAAUAAAUAAUAACUUCUCUUAGAAGCAAAAUUUAGUCCGGGAGGGAGGUGGGGGGUCAGCCCCCCACCCAGCCAGCCGCCCCGUCCGGGAGGUGAGGGGCG
rnacentral:lncRNA from 1 species